rnacentral:rRNA from 1 species
ACGUAGGAGGCGAACGUUAUCCGGAUUUACUGGGCGUAAAGCGCGUGUAGGUGGUUCUGUAAGUAGGGCGUGAAAGCUCCUGGCUCAACUGGGAGAGGCCGUUCUAAACUACAGAACUAGAGGAUGGUAGAGGGAGGUGGAAUUCCAGGUGUAGCGGUGGAAUGCGCAGAUAUUUGGAGGAACACCAGUGGCGAAGGCGGCCACCUGGACUAUUCCUGACUCUCAGUCGCGAAAGCUAGGCUAGCAAACGG